UCCGCUCCCGAUCGGGGUCGGCCUCCCCCUGCCUGGGAGGAGGGGGGGUGCGGGCUUCCAGCGGGUGUGGACACACGGGAAGGAAGUGGGCGACCCCCAACGCGGGGGAUGCGAAUCCUGGACCGAAGCAUAUGGACUCAUGGAAGCAGGCUGUUGAGCCCCUCUUGGGGACCAAGCGGCUUGCUAGGAACCCAGGAUAUAGAGGUGAGGUGAUCACAGCAAGGCUCUCUGAGACUUGGACAUUGAUCAUUAUGAAGCAUCCAGGGCAGCUGUCAUGCAGAAUGUCCCACAUUCUGGGUUUUUCCAGUUUCCUCAUGAUUCAGUAUAGGUUAGACAUUUCAGAAAAGACCACUACAUAGGGGAUGUUGUGGACUUCCCACUAUGUCACACUGGUAGGCCCGUAGUGCACAUUUGUCCUUUUAUUCGUGAUGCUGGGCUCGAUCACUUGGAUAAUUUGGAGUUCAUCAGAUCUUUACAAUUUAAGGGUAAGCUGUCAUGGGAUAUCCGAAGACCUUUGAUUAUUUGUUCCCAACAAAUAAAAUUA